rnacentral:lncRNA from 1 species
UGCUACGCGCCGUAUAGGAUUCCCCCAUAGAGAACAGUUUGGUAUUAAAAAAAGGUGUAUCUAUAUUACAAUCGACUGAAAUUGAAUUGGCCUUCAAAUCAAAUAUGCCAACCAGUAAAAAUCUGACACCAACUGAAAAAAAACUUGACUGAAAAUAACGGGGCAUUCAACCAAUAUUUUCAGGCACUACAAACAUGGCUCGUGUAUGUAUGAGCUAUGGGCUCUAUGAUCCAUGAGCAAGCAAUGAAAGGGCCCAAAAAGCAACACUGCUAGGUCAGUACUCUCACUACCUUCUCCAGGUUAUUGACAGUUUUGUUUUCUUCACAACACUUUUGGAAGAAAACCUGAAAUUCUCAUGGCAUUCUAAAGGAUCUGAAGUUGAUACUUGUGGAAGAAACUCCUGAACACAAACAUACUAUAAAUUCAUCAUUAGGCUGCCGCAAAAACAUCAUCAACCUGCUGUACAAUGAUCAACUCAAGAUGAACUAAUCACAUACUAAACAUUUCAUUGCCAUGAAGCUUUAAACACAGUGGCUUCAGUUGAAAUUUACAGUAAACUAACUAUGAAUAAACAGUAACUUUUAAAGUGUAGCACAUAUUCAGCUUUGAUGAAUUUUACAGUGUUCAUUUUACUAAAAUUCCAGUCAGUAACAACCAGAUCACAACAAAGAUACUGGAACUUCAGUAAAAAAAAGGAGAAACAACCAGUAAACUACAGUCAUACCAAGAAGACAAACUGCAGGUCAGUACUCUCACAAUCUCCUUCAAAUAGUUCUUCCAGUAAAAAAUGUAGCACUGUAAAUUCACGUAACUGUAUAGUGUAAAAUCUAUCACUGUGAAAUAUAAAAAUCACAACCUUUAGGCUACUACUAUAAAUUACAGAAGUUAUAGGAUUGUAAAUCUUCGAACUGUAAAUUCAAACAAUCAAAAAAAAAUAGUGCGGUAAAUUAUAGAAGCUAUAGGACAGUAAAUCCAUCAUCAAUUAACUACUCCCUCCGUCCCAUAAUAUAGGAAGUUUUUGCAAGCUAAUAUAGCUUGCAAAAACGUCCUAUAGUAUGGGACAGAGGGAGUAUAAUUUACUACGAAAACAAAGAAAAAAUUAGACUUCUAUGAAUACUACAGUACUGUAAAAUCCAUCAUAGCAAUUCGAAAAAUUCUAGUAAAAAUAACUACUAAAAUUUACAGAAGCUAUAGGACCAUAAUUCCAUCAUCAAUGUAUUAUAAAUUAAACACCAGGAAACUGUAGUAUACAUUCAGACAAAUUCAUGUGAUCAAGCACUCUAUAUGAACUCACUGUACGAACAACAAUGACACACUAUAUGGAGCUACUACAAUAAAUAACAAAAUCUAUAGGACAGUGUAUAAAUCCACCAUCACCAUACUGUAAAUUCAACAUAAGAGUACUGUAAAUAUGCGGCCAGAUUAGUUUGUGUGAUCAAGCAUUCUAUAUCAGCUCACUGUACAAACAACAGCAACUUUGUGGAGCAACUGUAAAUUACAAAAUCUAUAAGACAGUAAAUCCAACAUCAGGACCUUGUAAAUUCAAAAUCAAGGUGUUGUAUAUGUAUUCAAACUAAUUCCAGUAAGUAUAUAUGCAUUGAAACAACAUCAGCAUUCUUGUAAACUAAAAACAACAUUGCUGGUUACCUAUUACAUAUUGUAGAAACAAAAUUAUAUGAUGAUACUGAUAUCUACCAGACAAUUUUGGGCUAUUGUGUAAUAGCAUGGUUCAGUUUAGCCGCUUCAGAUCACAGGGGUCAGGGAAACAAACUGACUCUCUUUUUGGCUACUGUGCAGUAGCAUGGUUCAGUUCAACCGCUUGACCAAAACAACUCCAAAUCAGUAUUGCUCGAGCAGUUUGAACGAUGUACCUUGGCUACACGAGUGGAUGUAAUUCCAAUGAAGUCGGCACUACGGAGAAAUUCCGGCCAGGUUGGCAGAACAGUGAGAUUUCCACGGCUCCGGCAGAACGGCAAGACACCAAUGUCGAGCACGGACGAAAUGACGCAAUUGGGCUGGGGCUUCGGUCAAGGGAGUACUUGAGUAUUUAUAUGUGCGUACAGCCUCUGGAACGGCUAAAGCAGUCC